rfam:Lepisosteus oculatus linkage group LG3, whole genome shotgun sequence.
GUGGGUUAUGGUGACAUGUGCCCCAUAACUUUGGGGGGUAAGAUGGUGGGCACCCUGUGUGCCAUUGCUGGUGUUUUGACCAUUGCUCUGCCUGUUCCUGUCAUUGUCUCCAAC